CAUACUUCUUUUGCGGAUCAAGCAGUCUUCUACCUUGGUGGGUAGCGGAGAAUCAAAGAAAGGAAUAACGCUAGCUAGCGUCGAUUAACUCACUUAACUAGAUGCGAUGCGCACAACCAAGAGGUAGGCGUGUUGCUCUCAGAGAUUCACUGAGUCUGGGGCUGGGGUCCUCUUUCUGCUCGUGCUGCUUGCUAAUCAAUCUACUAGUGCAAAUCCACCAGGGCUCUACUUUCUUCUAACUCUACAUGAGACAUGAGCAAAUGUGGGUCAGCUUCCUCAACUAUACUCUAACUUAGAUUCUCUAUUUGCGGAAAUCUAUUCCUUUCUUACUCAGGUGGUACUACUUGAUAAGCAACUCUCAUAUCUUUUCUUUCUGAGGGAAGAGUUAAUGAAUGUAAGAAGCUUAUUGCCUUCUGGCUGGAAUAUAGGGAAAGUAAACAUAGGACCACAGAUGAGUACAUAUAGGCAUUGGCAUAGGUACAGUGGAGAUCAUUGAUUGGGGUCAAGUCUACCAGCACUCACCUAGAAUCUGUCAUAUUAGUUUAUGAAGUAAAGAAAGAAUGAGUUAAAGUAGGUGUACUUUUGACAUAUUCACAAAGAGUAUCAACCAAUAGGCGGCUAGGAGUUUGUUGCUUGGGACGACUAUCAUCUAUCUGUCUUAGGUUAUGUAUUCCUUUAGUGAUUGGAAUAGGACGAGGAGUCUAACUAAGGAGUAUAAUGGAAUUGCUUGUCAACCAUAGGCUUCUUCUACGGAGCUUAGGAGAACUAGAAUCUGAGGAAAAGAAGAAAUGUCUAUCCUUGGGGAUAGAGCAAGGUCCUAUAGCGAGACAUUCUUUCUCUUCCAGGACAAGGAAAUCGUAAUGGGUUAGAUAAGUUCCUGCCUCAACAGUCCGGAUUGAAGUCUGGUCAAGAGAAGAGGUUCGGUCAAGGGUGAAGGAGUCGAAUUAGAAUACCAUUGAGUGGAAAAUUCCAUGUCAGAGUUUUUUAAGAAAGCUCUAAGCCCAGUUGAAGCUUAAAGCAAAGAUAGGAUUGGCAUUUCUAAGCUAGAAAAGGCUUUUUUGAAUGUAGGGCGAACCCCCCUCCCCUAGUCAUCGAGGAGGGGAGGUAGCUUAUUGACCAACUGUAUAGGGUAGGCAGGCUGAGUUCCCUUUCGCUUGAUGCAAUGUCAAUUCUAAAUCAAGCAAUUGAUGGAAUCAAAAGAGGGAACGAAAGUAAAUGAGAAAUUACUUUUCACUCGGAAUUCUUUAUUCAUUUGAAAACGAGACUCUCACUCGCCUUUUUCUUUUCUUAUCCCCUAAUCUACUACUUCAAAGCAGUGUUUCUGCAGUGUUCCUAAGACAGAAAGAACUCUGAGCUAUGUCUGGUUUAGUGUCAACUAAUCUUUAACCCUUUGAUGGUAGAGGGGAGUAACUCGCUUUUAGCCCUCUACAACUGAAGUUCUCAUGUACUUAAAUAACAAGAUUGAAUAGGCCACAAGGCCAGAGAAAAGGUAGGUUAAUUGUUCUAGGAUUGGUUGUCUCAUUGACAAGUGAUGGGAGUAUCAGGGUUUCGAUACCCAUGGCAACGUGGAACAAGCGAAAGAAAGAGCCAUGAAAGCCUAAACCUGAACUGCAGAUCCUAGAAGAAAGGUAGCGUAGUCUUGUGGAAAUAUGCCCAUAAGAAUUCCAAGAACAAUCAAAUAAGUAGUGAAUUCCCAUAAGGAAGAGAAGACACCCUAAACUCUAAAGUACUAACUAAACUAGAUAAAGUACUGACUAAACUAGAUAGGCCCUAGCCUUCGCUAGGUUAGGGUUGCGAUUGUGAUAAUCCGGGUCAGUCGAGGCUGGUAAAGUAACUAAGUUGCAAAGAAAACCUCAGAUAGACUAGCUUAGGAAAUGGUGAAGCUUUAGAAUUACCAAUGGAUAAACUGAUAUGGGACUGAAACCGAUUUCAAUAGUUCUGAGGCAUGGGAGAAGUGGAUUCAAUGGGGAUGAUGAUGGCCCGAGAUAAGAAUGGGAAGUUGAUCAAGAUCUUUAAUGGAGAAUUGCUGAUGUAAAGUAUGUCAGAGGUGUUUCAUUGCAGAAGAUGAAUUACCAGUAACGAUAAUAUCAUCAACGUAGAUCAAAAUGUAAAUGUAGGAAAUCCUACCCUGAUUUCAGAAAAAAUAGAGAAGCCUGUAGUUGAGCACCUAUCUGAAUAGGCGUAACAAAGCUACCUGAAAAAGGCAAGGUGUACCUUAAAUUGAAAUCGAAAAAUUGCGUUUUGCCAGAUGGAUCCUUUAGAAAGAUUCCCGGAUAAAGUUCAGUAUAAUAUUUAGUUAGAAUCUAAAUAAAGGCGCAUACGUGGGCGGGCAGGGGGCCCCACUACUUCUUCAUUCAGGGGGGCUAGCCUCAUGACUUCCCACUGGGCGAGGGGUGCACCUAACCCACCUACUCACUCAUCAAUUACGGUGUUCAGCUGACUUGCACAGAAAGACCCCUAUUGUUUAGUAAUUUGGCGCCCCAUCUUUUGAUUGACUGUUGUCAACUAAUCUUUUCAAUGUUCGAUUCUACUCUAUGUUAGAACAUUUCAGUGAAUGCUAUUUCGAUCUAAGUGGUCCUAUUCUGUCGACGAAAGCUAGUCGGCAGUCUACCUUGGGGUAUACCCACGGUAGUAGUUUAUCGGUAGACGGUGCGCAAACUACGAACUUGAUGGUGACGCAAGACACGGACAAGCUUUUUAUCCAGGUUCGGCCGCCGAGUUGGCGUAAUACCUACGUCCUGCGUCUGGUUGUAUUGAUUUGCGCUGAGAGAAUAUGAUGUCCUAGGGGGGUCCCUUGCCCCUCCUUAUGUGGCAGAACCCCCUAAGUGUUUGGGCCCACCGGCACCUGCCAUUGUCCUAAGGACCUCUGACAGUGAUGCCGGGAGUCCUCCCACUUUAGAAGUCCGAUGAGCCUUACUGUGUGCUCAUUCCACUGCUACCUGUGGCGUAUCAAUCUGACUCGUCCUGACCACUCACAAUGGUCAAACAACGAGAACUGUUUCUUCUCGCCCUUACAGGAUAGCAAGUGGCCACCUUAACUCCAGGAUCAUUCGUUGCGAAGAUGAAGCAGUAACUCAUCGACACAAGACCAAAAUAGUAUUUCAGAGUGAAACAGCGGAAGUAUUACAUAACAUAAUUUACAAAAGGAGUUCUUCCAAAUAGCAGAGUGUUAUUACAACCCUGGUCCAACGGAGCAACUUAAACUUUAGUACAGACAAAACAAAUUUACAGACCCUGCCCAUGGGCCACGCUCACUCUUCUUCGUCGUCAACCUCGACGACGGUCACACAACAGGGUCCGAAACAAGUCGGCUCCUGAACUUCACCUGCAACAGGGGUAUUGAAACCCUGAGUACGGGAGUACUCAACAAGACUUAUCCGACGGGAAAAGAGGAGAAUUUAGGGAUGCAGGCUUAGGGUAGACAAGGGGUGGCUGAGCAAGGAGCCAAAUGUUUUGCGGAAAAGCUUACUAGUAGUGCAUCCUUAUUUUCAAGUUUUACCCUGAAUUCCUCCCUCGCAGAGGCAGACGAAUUCGAGGAUAGUCUAACUAGUUGUUUCCCACAGAUGAAUCCGUGAGUUCCUAAUCCUAUCAUUAAGUAUUAUUUAUCGAUGGUCAUAGCUUCAUGUCGCUAUGAGUCCGGGAAUUGGGAUCCGAACCUCAUGAGACAUUUUCCCCUUUCUCAUCUUAUCACUUAGUUGCAUAUUUAACUACGAUGAGGGUCGAAGGAAUUGAGUCUCCCAAUCGGGGAGCAACGACGAUUCGAAUCGCUUAGCAAUCCAGCUGGAGUUCCUAACCACCCGACAUAUGUAGAACCAAAUCUUGCAUAUAUCAACCCAAAUCAAGCUCUCCCCAAAUUUGACCAGGUUCGCGGCACCCGAGAGCACAGUACUCCACCAUCCUACAGCCGAUCUAGAUGUUUCCCGGUCAUCUCAGAUCCGUAAGGUGGGUACACACUACCCUCGCCAUCUUUCCACUCCCAGUGCGCGAGUAGCUGUUCGCGUCGAGGGAUCACAAGACCGGGCUUACCCGUGGCAAGUGGCUAGUACUAUAAAUUCUCAACCCAGCAGGCCAUCAACGGACCGGUCCUUAACCGACACAGUUGGAGACACUACUUUAAGACUCCAUUCUUAAAGCAAGUCCACCGACCGGUCUCAAAUUGAAAUAUCAUUGAUCACAAGUGUAUCCCACAACAACCCUUCAAACUUUCUUGUUUAAAAACCUAUCUAGUAGCAGGGCUAAGCAUCGCUACGCAGUUUUAAAAUAAAACAGGUGUCAAGGACAGGAUAACAGAUAUCAAGGUAGUAAAUGCAGCAAGUAGGUUAACCCAAUUCUCAACUAUCUAAUGCAGCAUUUUCAAUUCAUAUGUGAUAAAAGAUUUAAAACAUCCAAGGAGGGGUUAAUGCAUCCGGGGCUUGCCUUGGUUGCAGGGCAGAGAGGGACCCUCGGAGACUUCCCAAGUCUCGGAUCCGACUUCCUCGAACGGAGCACCGUCCUCGGGGUUCGGUUCAACGGGCGCUCCUUCGGUCACGGACACUAUACGCAAAAUGAUGAAUGCUCAUGAUAUGCGUAUGACACAUAUGCAAGAAGGACUAGAUCGAGCACAGUUUGCCUUCUCGGUGCAAUACAGAAUAAAUUAUAAAUAAAGUUGUUUAACACCUUAGCAUCUUUAUUCAAGAGGUUACAACAGUAAACUAAGACUUUACUUACUUCUCAAUUAUCUUAAAUUAAUUAAUUAUUAACUCUAUUUAUCUUAAUUAAUUCUUAAUUAAUUACUAAUGACAUUAAUUAAGUAUUAGAAUCAGACAAUAAUUAAGUGCCAGGGGUCAUUAGGGUUAAUGACCUCAGGUCAUCACUAAAUUCCAAAAUCACUCAAUCCUAAGUAUGAUGAUUUAACUAAUCACCUUCUAAUUAUUUUGGAAUUAUUAUUUAAGUGCUAAUUAGGGGUUUAUUAAUAUUUUAAUCAAACAUCAUCCAAAUAUCAUCAAAAUUUGUGGGGGGCCAGGGAAUAAUAUUCAGAGGCUCUCCACCAAUUUUGGUGAUUUUUGGACAUACCAUUAAGUUAUUAAAAAUCAUACAAGUUUCAUUUAGUAAUUAAAGGAGCCAAUUUUUAUAUUCUUACAAAGUAUCAGAAACUAGAGCCUAAUAUUUUUCCUGGUUUCUAAGUAUUUCAGGGAGUCUACCCAAAAUUUGCCCUGAUUUUUGGAUCAACACACAAAUUUUUACACAAAUUCAAACUUUCAGCAUGUUUAAACAAAAGGGAAAAAGGAAAAAGGCACUGUGCUACCGGCGGCCCGCUCGGAUCCGGCCCAAGUUGGCCUGCGGUGUCCUCCCGCGCGGACCGCGCGCGCCGCCCCCUCUUCACGCGCUGCGAGACGCUGACAGGCGGGACCCGCUUGUCAGCUCCGCCUUGCUCACUCACGGCGGCGCUGCCGCCGCUCCGGCGACUGUUAUGGAGUUCCCCGGCCCCCGCGCGCGUGCGCACCGGCACCGCGUCAACUUCGCGAUCCCACGGACACCCUCUAAACACGCUCUACUCUCCCGCUACCCCCUUGGUCACGCAAGAGGCGGGCGGCCGCCAUGGCCGACCCUCGGCCGGCCGCUAGAGACCGGUAGAGUGCAAAAGGACGGAACCGGGAGCUUCAGGGAGGGUUAGGGAGUACGGUGCUCACGUCACCACGGCGGGAGAAGCAGUAGGAAGCGCUGGCGUCGUUGGCCGAGGAAUCGGGCGGGUGUUCCGGCUCCGGCAAGGCUGUUCCGGCAAUCCUGUUCGUGUCCCGUGAGAAAAAGUGAGCGCAUGAGCAUCAGGGAAACAAGAGGAGUGCGAAACGAUCACUGGUAAGGCGUGGUACCGAGUGGAGCAACGUACCCACGCGAAGGGUUCCACGGCGGCGAUGCCGGCCGGACUCAGGGAAGAAGAAGAAGCGUUGGCGUUUGAGGGGGUUAGAGAGGGAGCUUGGGGGCGCACUGGAUUCGCAGGAAGGUGACGAAGACACUGGGUGGCUCAAUUUGGCUCGGGAAGGAGUGGUUGUGACGAAUUUGGAAGAGAGAGGUCGUCGGUUUCCUUGGCUCAGGACGGAGGGGAUGCACGGUGUCGUCCACGUCGGUGCGCAAGUGGAGAGGAAGGCGAGCCCGCGGCAUCCACGUCGCCUGGCGACCCUGACAGCAAGCAGCUGCGUGCACGCACGCAUGCGCGCGGCGCUGCUCGCACGGCGGGUGCGCUGGACAGGGCGCCGGUGAUCCAUAUCGGAUCACUGUAGCGACCUCUAUCCCCCCUCCUCUGUCUUUUGCAAAAUUCAGCCGAAAUUUGAACUGGGACCAAAUUUGUGUCAAAACAAAAGUUGUUCCAAAUUUUAUAAGCUACAAAACUUAUUUAGGUGACCCAAGCUGAUUCUAAGUGGGAAGAGGUCAAUUUGGCCAGACAGUUUGAAAAUCAAACUCAAAUUGCUGAAAUUCAAAUUUUUGAAUUGGGGAUAAAUCAGAGAUUCCAAAAUUACUUUUGAUUUUGUAUAACAACUUGAAAAACUCCCAACAUGAAAGUUGUUCAACUUUUUGUGCUCUACAACUUUCAUGUUGACCACUUUUCAAAAUUCCAAAUGGAUUUUGAAUUGGGGGUUUAAGUUGGAAAAGGGGACACUUUCUGGAAAUCUGCAUUUUCAAAAUUACUUUGAAUUUUGUAUUGAAACUUCAAAAACUCAAAACACCAAAGUUGUACAUCUUGCCAAGAUCUACAACUUUGCUUUUGAACUCAACCUCAAAUUUUGCUUAGUUUUUGAAUUGCACAAAAGGGGGCAGUUCUAGGGUUCAAAAUCAGGGUUUUCCCCCCUUAGCCUAUCGGAAAACUUCCACCCUAGGGUUUUAGCAAUCACACAAGCAACAACACAUCACAGAAGCACACUCUACUUCCCUAAGCUCAAGCAUUCAAAAUAAACUUAUUUUAAGUUGAUGCAUACUAAUGUGCUUUAACCAAUAUGAUUUGCAAUGCUCAUGAUGACAUGAUCCAUUUUUAGUAACCGUAACAUCAGGGAUGUUACAGCCCUUCCCCCUUAAAGAAAUCUCGUCCCCGAGAUUUAAAACCUUAGGGUAAGUAAUGGAAAAGGAAAUUUGUCAAAACUCUUUCAUCUUCAGCUUUUCCAUAAGGCAAGGUGUUGGGGAAAAAUACUUCAUUAUAAGCAUAUAUGUACAUUAAGUACAUGGCUCUGGCGACUCUUUUCCUUUACUAGAGUACACUCUUUAUUUAUCACAUGUUCUCCUGAAGAGAAGCAUGAAAUUCCGGAAAAUUCUCUAGCAAGUAAUCUUCAGAUUCCCAGGUGGCUUCUUCUUCAGAGUGCUGGCUCCAUUGUACCUUAUACCAUUUGGUGGUUGUUCUCCGAGUAACUCUAUCUUUUUGAUCCAGUACUCGGAUAGGAUAUUCCGAAUAAGUUAAAUCUGGUUCAAGCUUUACAUCUUCAAUAUCUUGAACUCGGUCUGGUACCCGAAGACACUUUUUCAGUUGAGACACAUGGAACACAUUAUGUAUCCCGGAUAAUCGUUCGGGCAGUUUAAGGCGGUAAGCGACUUGCCCACAUCGGUCAAUAAUUGGAAAUGGACCAAUGUAACGAGGCGCUAACUUGCCUUUAACACCAAAACGAUUUACUCCUUUCAUUGGGGAUACUUUCAAAUACACAUGAUCACCUUUGGCGAACUUUAAUGGUCGACGUCUUUUAUCAGCGUAACUUUUCUGUCGGGACUGAGCAACUUUCAAGUUAUUUUGGAUUUGUUUCACUUUGUUCUCAGUCUCUUUCACUAAGUCAACUCCGAAGAACCAUCUUUCUCCAGGUUCCGACCAGUGUAACGGAGUUCGACAUCGGCGACCAUACAGUGCCUCAAAGGGAGCCAUUUUGAUACUCUCUUGAUAGCUAUUAUUGUAGGAAAAUUCUGCUAGAGGCAAGCAGUCAUCCCACUUAUCUGGAAAAUUCAGGGCACAAGAUCUUAAUAGAUCUUCUAGGGUUUGAUUUACCCUUUCCGUUUGCCCACCAGUUUGAGGGUGGUAGGCUGUGCUGUAUAAAAGCUUAGUACCCAAGGACUCAUGUAAACAUUUCCAGAAUUGGGAGACAAAUUGUGUGCCUCUAUCUGACACUAUUGUCUUGGGCACUCCAUGCAGACUUAGGAUACGGUCAAAAUAAAUCUUAGCAUAGGUGGAGGCAGUAUACAAUAGCUUUACUGGCAGAAAAUGUGCUGUUUUGGUGAGACGAUCUACUAUGACCCAAAUGGAGUCAAAGCCCUUGGCCGUCUUGGGCAAUCCUACUAUAAAAUCCAUACUUAUGUCAUCCCAUUUCCAUGCGGGGAUAGGCAAAGGUUGCAACUCCCCAGCGGAUUUGAGAUGAAUGGCUUUGACUUUUCGACAGGUGUCACACUGGGCCACAUAGCGAGCUAUUUCUAUCUUCAUUUUUGUCCACCAAAACCUUUGCUUCAGGUCCUGAUACAUCUUAUUGCUUCCCGGAUGAAUAGAAUACCUCGUGGUAUGAGCUUCAUCUAGGAUUUGCUGACGUAGCUCAGGUACCUUUGGAACCACUAACCGGUUCUUGAACCAGAUUACUCCCGCCUCAUCCACCUUAAAGUCUGUGAGCGCUCUAUUAGAAAUCUUCUCUUUAAGAUGUCUCAUGCCUUUGUUUUCUUUUUGUGCCUUUAUGAUUUGAGCCUCGAGAUUGAAAUCAAUCUUUAAAUUGGAAAGGCUUCCUUGGGAAAUCAUUUCUAUUCCCAAGUUCUCUAGCUCUUGGCACAGAGUUAUAUCCCUAGGCUUCACUGUUAAGCAAUUACAGUGAGCCUUACGACUGAGGGCAUCCGCUACUACAUUUGCCUUGCCAGGGUGAUAAUGCACCUCAAGGUCGUAAUCUUUAAUUAGUUCUAGCCACCUUCGCUGGCGCAUAUUAAGCUCAGCUUGAGUAAAGAUAUACUUCAAGCUUUUGUGAUCUGUAUAUAGAUGACAUGUGUUUCCCAACAAAUAAUGACGCCAGAUUUUUAAUGCAUGUACCACGGCGGCUAGUUCGAGGUCAUGGGUCGGGUAAUUCUCUUCAUGAGGUUUGAGUUGCCUGGAAGCAUAUGCAAUUACGCGACCCUCCUGCAUCAGCACACAGCCCAACCCGAUUCCUGAUGCAUCACAAUAUACAUCAAAGGGUUUUUCAAUAUCUGGCUGGGCUAAGACAGGUGCAGUUGUCAACAACCUUUUCAGAGUCUGAAAAGCUUGCUCACAUUGAGGUGACCAAACAAAUUUUGUUUGACUUUUGAGCAAGGUUGUGAUUGGUUUGGCGACCCUGGAAAAGUCUGGGAUAAAACGACGGUAAUAUCCCGCCAUGCCCAGAAAACUACGGACCUCAUGUACCGUAGUUGGGGGUUUCCAAUUCAACACAUCUUCGACCUUGCCUGGGUCUACAACGACUCCUUCCGCUGAUAACACAUGACCCAGGAAAUGAACCUUGUCCAGCCAGAACUCACAUUUGCUGAACUUGGCAUAUAGCUGGUGCUCCCUGAGACGGGUCAGCACGAUUCUCAAGUGUUCAGCAUGUUCCUUCUUAGUUUUGGAGUAAAUCAAGAUGUCAUCGAUAAAGACGACCACAAAUUUGUCUAGUUCUGGCAUGAAGACAGAGUUCAUCAAGUACAUAAAAUGGGCCGGUGCGUUAGUCAACCCAAAAGACAUUACCAAGUAUUCAUACAACCCGUAACGGGUCGUGAAAGCAGUCUUGGGCACAUCUUCCGGCCUAAUUUUAAUUUGAUGGUAUCCUGAUCUCAAAUCAAUUUUUGAGAACACUUUGGCCCCAGCUAGCUGGUCAAACAGUAAGUCAAUGCGGGGCAAUGGGUACUUAUUCUUAAUCGUCACCUCAUUUAGAGGACGAUAAUCGACGCACAGCCUUAAGGUCUGAUCUUUCUUCUUCACAAACAGGGCUGGGCAACCCCAUGGAGAAGAACUGGGCUGAAUAAAACCCUUCUGCAACAAUUCUUGUAAUUGGGUUUUUAAUUCGGCCAGCUCUUUCGGUGCCAUUCUGUAGGCCCUUCGAGAUAUUGGGGCCGUUCCCGGUUUCAAUUCUAUACUGAAUUGUACAUCCCGGUCCGGAGGCAGACCUGGUAAAUCUUCAGGAAAUACAUCCGGGAAAUCUCGAACUACCGGGAUAUCUUUAACUUCAGACACCUUAGCGGCAUGAACUUGCCCAAUUGUCCGUUUGGGAGUAACUAGUUGGAUUAGCAAGUAAGAGCUCUCAUUGGGCAAUGGGAUUUUAAUGGUUCGGUGCAAAGUGUCUAGCACAACCCCUCGUUGCGCCAUCCAGUUCAUGCCUAAGAUGACAUCAAUUUCUUGGUCCUUAAGAACAAUCAUGCUAGUAGGAAAAUUGUGCCCACCAAAUUCGAUGGGUACUUGGUGAACCAUUUCUUUAGACAUCAGCCGUCCUCCUGGCGACUGUAUAUAAAAAUGAUCUUGUGUUUCCCCAAUGGGUAUACCAUGCUUUAACACAAAGGUGCGAUUGAUAAAUGUAUGGGAUGCACCGGAAUCAAAGAGCAUUAAAGCAGGAUGCUUGGCAACAGGAAACGUACCCAUCAUCACUGGUUCACCCUCUGGAAUUGUCUCCACUUCAGUAUGGAAGACUUGCCCUGUCUUCUUUACCGGUCUACCUUUCUGUAUCUGUUGCCCUUUUUGAGCCCCAGUCCUAAACUGGCCCGGCUGGGGUUGGCCCAUAGGUGGCCUUUGAAAGGUAGGGUUGGUUUGGCGGGGAAAAGGGCACUCUUUAGAGAAAUGCCCAGGCUUACCACAAUUAAAGCAAGGGUAAUUGUGGCUGGGCAGAGCAGUAGGGCGAACACCCGGGGCGUUCGGCUGACGUGGUGCAAAAGCGAUGGCAGUAGGUCGAGAGUAUACCUGCUGCCCGGGUCUGUACUGUGGAGGGGAGAAAGGACCACGAUAAGGCGACGGCGCUUGGAAACGUCCGUGGCCUUGUGGAUGAUAAAUGACCCUCUGGCGCUUUUGACCGCGACCAGAGAAAGAAGAGGAAGCAGCCUUCUUUUUGGCUUCCUUGUGUUUUCUAUUCUUCUCCUCAGAGGCGAUGGCAAUAUUGACCGCCUCAUAGAAGGUAGCAUUUUGGCAUGUAGUCAUCAUGGUCUGAAGUUUAGUAUUUAGACCACGCAUGAAACAGGCUUUCUUCUUUCUGUCUGUGUUCACAUAAUCCGUGGCAUAUUGAGAAAGAUGAUUGAACCUUGCCACGUAUUCCAUAACACUUUUGUCGCCUUGCUGCAAGGCGAGAAACUCUUCGGCCUUCAUGGCCAUGAGCCCUUCGGGGAUGUAGUGGGCGCGAAAUGCGUCCCUAAACUCAGUCCAGGUAACUUGGUGUCCGGGAGCUUGAAUAGCUAAGAAGUUCUCCCACCAAGCACCUGCAGCUCCCCGAAGCUGCUGGGCUGCAAAUAAGGGUUUCUGAGUUUCCGAACACUGAAUUAAACUGAACUUAUGCUCCAUAGUUCGGAGCCAGUCAUCCGCUUCUAAAGGCUCAUCGGCCUUAGUGAACACUGGGGGCCUGGUCUCGGUGAAAUCCACAUACCGAGUCUCUCCGUCCCCGUUGCGCGGUGCCCUGAAGUUUGAAGCAGGGUGUGUUUGACGCUGGGCUAGCUCGCGCAGCAAGCGAGCAUUGUCAGUUGUGGCACUUAGCAGGACCGCAAUGGCGUCAGCCAAAGAAGGUGGAGCAGGUGGAGGGUUGGGGAUAUCAUCCCCUCCCUGGGAUGUCCCAGCUCCAUCGGAUCCGCGAGUACGCAUCGGCAUCUGUUACAAGAAUCGUAGAUACCUGUUACCACGUAGAAUUCAUAACACAGAACAUACCUCACAUUCACUUAUUAAACAUUAGUUAGAUACACACCAAGAGUAAACAAGUUCAACUUUUCAAACCACAAGAACACUUAUAUUACAAACCCAAACCUCACUACGGUAAACUAAGACCCCUACAACGACGUUGCCCUCGGUUUCACCGAACUAAUCGGUGUGGCCAGAGCUGUAGCCCGGGUCGUCGUUACCAUCAUCUUGAUUACCCCCUGGGUUGUGGUCAUCGGGGUCGGACUCCUCUUCAUCACUGAGGCCUGGAUCGGGUUCUCCAUCGUCCGCCAACUCGCCAUCCGUAUCCAUUUCUCCUUCGCCGGGAGGUGGGUGGAGUUGAUGAUACAGAUCAAAUGCAAUAUCCCGAUAUUGCAUAGCCAGGUCAUUGACUGUAUCUAAGUGAUGUGCCAGCUCCAGUUUCUCCAGCUGGAGCUGGUCCUCUCGUUGCCACGCAACAUCCCGUUGUGCGGUGACCGUGGCCGCCAUCUUCACAUACAAAUCCUUGAGAUACUUUGCCUUGCCCAACUUUGCGCUCAUCCUAGUUAGCUCAUGCCUAUGGGUGCUCCUAGCUUCUUCCUCUCGGGCAAUGGCUGCGUUCCGCUCCUCCACCAUCCGGGACAACAUAGCUUCACAGUUUUCCGUAGCUUGUUUUUCUUUGGCCAGUUGAGCUUUGAGUUUGCCAAUCUCCAUAACAUUGUACAUUCUCUCUCUCAUCACCUCAGUCAACUCGGCGGACAGCCUGUCCACCUCCUGCUGAGGCGGUGUGCGGCUACUACUGGCUUGAUCACUACGUGGAGCUAGCUGAUGUCGAGGAACUCCUUUUGGACCUGUCCGCUUACGCGGGGUCUGCUUCUGACGAGCCAUCCUGUAGAGGGUAAGUUUAGAUUAGUAAGAGAGACCUUAAAGGUUAGCAAGAAUAGGAUUGAUUCUAUUCACCCACCCCGAACAAGGAGGAAGGAACUUAACCAGUUAAUACAUCAUGAUGCAUGCACGAACUUACGAUUCCUACUAACAAAUCGAAACGAUAUUACUUUAAACUUUUACAACCUCGGGCAAUACUUUAGGUUGCUCCUCCAGACCACUUAAAUAAAAUUCUAAGAAAGCCUAUAGACAGGGGUAGGUUAGGACUAAGCACUUGGACUCAAAAUAGGCAGGUUCAUAGUAUUAGUUUCAAACGAAUUUUUGAAGUUUUUCAAAAGGUUCAGCAGUCAUCUUAGCAACGAAUGCUCUGAUACCAGCUGUGGCAGAACCCCCUAAGUGUUUGGGCCCACCGGCACCUGCCAUUGUCCUAAGGACCUCUGACGGUGAUGCCGGGAGUCCUCCCACUUUAGAAGUCCGAUGAGCCUUACUGUGUGCUCAUUCCACUGCUACCUGUGGCGUAUCGAUCGGACUCGUCCUGACCACUCACAAUGGUCAAACAACGAGAACUGUUUCUUCUCGCCCUUACAGGAUAGCAAGUGGCCACCUUAACUCCAGGAUCAUUCGUUGCGAAGAUAAAGCAGUAACUCAUCGACACAAGACCAAAAUAGUAUUUCAGAGUGAAACAGCGGAAGUAUUACAUAACAUAAUUUACAAAAGGAGUUCUUCCAAAUAGCAGAGUGUUAUUACAACCCUGGUCCAACGGAGCAACUUAAACUUUAGUACAGACAAAACAAAUUUACAGACCCUGCCCAUGGGCCACGCUCACUCUUCUUCGUCGUCAACCUCGACGACGGUCACACAACAGGGUCCGAAACAAGUCGGCUCCUGAGCUUCACCUGCAACAGGGGUAUUGAAACCCUGAGUACGGGAGUACUCAACAAGACUUAUCCGACGGGAAAAGAGGAGAAUUUAGGGGUGCAGGUUUAGGGUAGACAAGGGGUGGCUGAGCAAGGAGCCAAAUGUUUUGCGGAAAAGCUUACUAGUAGUGCAUCCUUAUUUUCAAGUUUUACCCUGAAUUCCUCCCUCGCAGAGGCAGACGAAUUCGAGGAUAGUCUAACUAGUUGUUUCCCACAGAUGAAUCCGUGAGUUCCUAAUCCUAUCAUUAAGUGUUAUUUAUUGAUGGUCAUAGCUUCAUGUCGCUAUGAGUCCGGGAAUUGGGAUCCGAACCUCAUGAGACAUUUUCCCCUUUCUCAUUAUAUCACUUAGUUGCAUAUUUAACUACGCUGAGGGUCGAAGGAAUUGAGUCUCCCAAUCGGGGAGCAACGACGAUUCGAAUCGCUUAGCAAUCCAGCUGGAGUUCCUAACCACCCGACAUAUGUAGAACCAAAUCUUGCAUAUAUCAACCCAAAUCAAGCUCUCCCCAAAUUUGACCAGGUUCGCGGCACCCGAGAGCACAGUACUCCACCAUCCUACAGCCGAUCUAGAUGUUUCCCGGUCAUCUCAGAUCCGUAAGGUGGGCACACGUUACUCUCGCCAUCUUUCCACUCCCAGUGCGCGAGUAGCUGUUCGCGUCGAGGGAUCACAAGACCGGGCUUACCGAGGGCAAGUGGCUAGUACUACAAAUUCUCAACCCAGCAGGCCAUCAACGGAACGGUCCUUAAUCAACACAGUCGGAGACACUACUUUAAGACUCCAUUCUUAAAGCAAGUCCACUGACCGGUUUCAAAUUGCAACAUCAUUGAUCACAAGUGUAUCCCACAACAACCCUUCAAACUUUCUUGUUUAAAAACCUAUCUAGUAGCAGGGCUAAGCAUCGCUACGCAGUUUUAAAAUAAAACAGGUGUCAAGGACAGGAUAACAGAUAUCAAGGUAGUAAAUGCAGCAAGUAGGUUAACCCAAUUCUCAACUAUCUAAUGCAGCAUUUUCAAUUCAUAUGUGAUAAAAGAUUUAAAACAUCCAAGGAGGGGUUAAUGCAUCCGGGGCUUGCCUUGGUUGCAGGGCAGAGAGGGACCCUCGGAGACUUCCCAAGUCUCGGAUCCGACUUCCUCGAAUGGAGCACCGACCUCGGGGUUCGGUUCAACGGGCGCUCCUUCGGUCACGGACACUAUACGCAAAAUGAUGAAUGCUCAUGAUAUGCGUAUGACACAUAUGCAAGAAGGACUAGAUCGAGCACAGUUUGCCUUCUCGGUGCAAUACAGAAUAAAUUAUAAAUAAAGUUGUUUAACACCUUAGCAUCUUUAUUCAAGAGGUUACAACAGUAAACUAAGACUUUACUUACUUCUCAAUUAUCUUAAAUUAAUUAAUUAUUAACUCUAUUUAUCUUAAUUAAUUCUUAAUUAAUUACUAAUGACAUUAAUUAAGUAUUAGAAUCAGACAAUAAUUAAGUGCCAGGGGUCAUUAGGGUUAAUGACCUCAGGUCAUCACUAAAUUCCAAAAUCACUCAAUCCUGAGUAUGAUGAUUUAACUAAUCACCUUCUAAUUAUUUUGGAAUUAUUAUUUAAGUGCUAAUUAGGGGUUUAUUAAUAUUUUAAUCAAACAUCAUCCAAAUAUCAUCAAAAUUUGUGGGGGGCCAGGGAAUAAUAUUCAGAGGCUCUCCACCAAUUUUGGUGAUUUUUGGACAUACCAUUAAGUUAUUAAAAAUCAUACAAGUUUCAUUUAGUAAUUAAAGGAGCCAAUUUUUAUAUUCUUACAAAGUAUCAGAAACUAGAGCCUAAUAUUUUUCCUGGUUUCUAAGUAUUUCAGGGAGUCUACCCAAAAUUUGCCCUGAUUUUUGGAUCAACACACAAAUUUUUACACAAAUUCAAACUUUCAGCAUGUUUAAACAAAAGGGAAAAAGGAAAAAGGCACUGUGCUACCGGCGGCCCGCUCGGAUCCGGCCCAAGUUGGCCUGCGGUGUCCUCCCGCGCGGACCGCGCGCGCCGCCCCCUCUUCACGCGCUGCGAGACGCUGACAGGCGGAACCCGCUUGUCAGCUCCGCCUUGCUCACUCACGGCGGCGCUGCCGCCGCUCCGGCGACUGUUAUGGAGUUCCCCGGCCCCCGCGCGCGUGCGCACCGGCACCGCGUCAACUUCGCGAUCCCACGGACACCCUCUAAACACGCUCUACUCUCCCGCUACCCCCUUGGUCACGCAAGAGGCGGGCGGCCGCCAUGGCCGACCCUCGGCCGGCCGCUAGAGACCGGUAGAGUGCAAAAGGACGGAACCGGGAGCUUCAGGGAGGGUUAGGGAGUACGGUGCUCACGUCACCACGGCGGGAGAAGCAGUAGGAAGCGCUGGCGUCGUUGGCCGAGGAAUCGGGCGGGUGCUCCGGCUCCGGCAAGGCUGUUCCGGCAAUCCUGUUCGUGUCCCGUGAGAAAAAGUGAGCGCAUGAGCAUCAGGGAAACAAGAGGAGUGCGAAACGAUCACUGGUAAGGCGUGGUACCGAGUGGAGCAAUGUACCCACGCGAAGGGUUCCACGGCGGCGAUGCCGGCCGGACUCAGGGAAGAAGAAGAAGCGUUGGCGUUUGAGGGAGUUAGAGAGGGAGCUUGGGGGCGCACUGGAUUCGCAGGAAGGUGACGAAGACACUGGGUGGCUCAAUUUGGCUCGGGAAGGAGUGGUUGUGACGAAUUUGGAAGAGAGAGGUCGUCGGUUUCCUUGGCUCAGGACGGAGGGGAUGCACGGUGUCGUCCACGUCGGUGCGCAAGUGGAGAGGAAGGCGAGCCCGCGGCAUCCACGUCGCCUGGCGACCCUGACAGCAAGCAGCUGCGUGCACGCACGCAUGCGCGCGGCGCUGCUCGCACGGCGGGUGCGCUGGACAGGGCGCCGGUGAUCCAUAUCGGAUCACUGUAGCGACCUCUAUCCCCCCUCCUCUGUCUUUUGCAAAAUUCAGCCGAAAUUUGAACUGGGACCAAAUUUGUGUCAAAACAAAAGUUGUUCCAAAUUUUAUAAGCUACAAAACUUAUUUAGGUGACCCAAGCUGAUUCUAAGUGGGAAGAGGUCAAUUUGGCCAGACAGUUUGAAAAUCAAACUCAAAUUGCUGAAAUUCAAAUUUUUGAAUUGGGGAUAAAUCAGAGAUUCCAAAAUUACUUUUGAUUUUGUAUAACAACUUGAAAAACUCCCAACAUGAAAGUUGUUCAACUUUUUGUGCUCUACAACUUUCAUGUUGACCACUUUUCAAAAUUCCAAAUGGAUUUUGAAUUGGGGGUUUAAGUUGGAAAAGGGGACACUUUCUGGAAAUCUGCAUUUUCAAAAUUACUUUGAAUUUUGUAUUGAAACUUCAAAAACUCAAAACACCAAAGUUGUACAUCUUGCCAAGAUCUACAACUUUGCUUUUGAACUCAACCUCAAAUUUUGCUUAAUUUUUGAAUUGCACAAAAGGGGGCAGUUCUAGGGUUCAAAAUCAGGGUUUUCCCCCCCUUAGCCUAUCGGAAAACUUCCACCCUAGGGUUUUAGCAAUCACACAAGCAACAACACAUCACAGAAGCACACUCUACUUCCCUAAGCUCAAGCAUUCAAAAUAAACUUAUUUUAAGUUGAUGCAUACUAAUGUGCUUUAACCAAUAUGAUUUGCAAUGCUCAUGAUGACAUGAUCCAUUUUUAGUAACCGUAACAUCAGGGAUGUUACACCUUAUAUAGUCUGGAGGGCAGGGUUACAGAUCUAGAAACUAAUCCUAGUCGGUUACAAUUGCCAUAGAUAAUUCGAUAUCAAUUCCUAUUCCAACCGACUAGAAUCCUGCUUGAUCUCCACGUCUUGUUUCCUUGCGCGAAACUCCGAGCUGUCGGAUCAAGCCUUGAACUCGUCUCGUAGUGAGCCAAGCUUCCUGGCUGAAGUCUAGCCGUAAGGGUAUAGGGGUUUAUACCCCCACAGCUAGUCCCCGAGCACCACGUAUUGUGAUGCAACACGCCGUCUUGAGCUUCUUCGAUCAGCGAGGCUUGUCAUCUUCAAUAAGCGGGAAAAUCGCCCAAACAGUUGCAACGGUUCCUUGACCAACUCGAAAGACAGUUGAUCAACAUUGACAUCGAAGAAGCAGGUUGUUCGAAGAAUGCAUGGUGCUCUAAAAAAAAAAUUUCUUUCCUGGUGAAGUGUGCCCACUUUGCCUUUUUGAAAGGUAGAAUCAUCAAAAAACCAAGCAAAUUCACCGCUAGGUGAAGUGUGCCCACUUAGUCCCCGAGCCUGGUAGUAGGUGGCGUAGGCACGUGGUGCCAGGGUCAAAAGAAAAUUCCCCAAAGUAGUUUUGAGACUGAGAUGCAUCGCUAGAUGCAUCGUACCGAUGUAGUCCCCGAGCUUGCUGGAAGGCGAAGCAUGAGCCUUGUAGCAAGGUCUAAAAAAUUGAAUUUACCAGUCCCCGAGCAUGUCAUGCUCGUCUGCAAUUGAAAAGACCAAUCGACCAGUCCCCAAGCACUUAGUGUGCUUCUUGGAAUUAUAUGUUGCUAUAUUGUACGACCAGUCCCCGAGCAUCGAGUGCUCAGUGGUCGGUGCAUGCUUUAAAGCUUUGAGCCGAUAGACUGAGCGACCAGUCCCCGAGCGUCGAGUGCUCGGUGGUCGGUGCAGUCCUUGAAGUUCUGAGUUGGUAGACUGGGCAACCAGUCCCCGAGCGUCGAGUGCUCGGUGGUCGGUGCAGUCCUUGAAGUUCCGAGCUGAUAGACUGGGCGACCAGUCCCCGAGCGUCGAGUGCUCGGUGGUCGGUGCAAUCCUUGAAGUUCCGAGCUGAUAGACUGGGCGACCAGUCCCCGAGCGUCGAGUGCUCGGUGGUCGGUGCAGUCCUUGAAGUUCCGAGCUGAUAGACUGGGCGACCAGUCCCCGAGCGUCGAGUGCUCGGUGGUCAGUGUAGUCCCCGGAUUGUUGACUCACCGGCGUAUGUAUCUUCUUACUUUUGAAAAAGAUCUUUCCAAUUAAAGUUGACGUGACGGGGUCUCCUGACGAUAUGUCAGACGGAUGCAUGAAAAGUUGCACCUGGCAACUGUACAACCUCUCUUUGCAUGGUUUGAGAAAAGGAAACCAUCAAUUGGUACGAAAACUCCGCCGCAUUAAUUGUCUAUAAUCAUUGUAAACCAAAACGCCGCGUCCGCCGCAUGGCCUGCCCACUUCCCGAGAAUACAGGAAGUGGGAGAGGUGGGGUCGCAGGUUUAUAAGGGCCUAAUAGGUCUGCCUGUACUGCUUCGCCUGCCAUUGCCUUCAAACCUUCCGCUCUCAUCUUCUCCAAUCUCCUGCAUCUUCCUAACUCCAGCCCACAUUCGCACCUCUAAUGGCGAAGAGCGACUCCAGGAAGAGGGCCGAACUGAUGGCCAAGGAGUGGAAGAAGUCUCGCAGCACCACAAAAUCUCUUGGUGACCUCGUCGAUAUGGGGCUUCUGCACGGCGCAGAGCUCGGCGGCUGGAGGGCACCGGAGGGGGAGAGCUACCCCGACCCUCGCGCCGGUGAGAUCGUCGUUUUUGAAGAUUUCGUUAAGAGAGGCUUUGGCGUUCCUGUUCAUCCUUUUCUUCAAGGUCUUCUUUUGUACUAUGAGAUCGGGAUUUGCAAUCUGCACCCGAACUCAAUUCUCCUUAUUUCCACCUUCAUCCACCUGUGCGAGGCCUAUGUUGGCAUAGAGCCGCACUUCGAUCUUUUCCGUUAUCUUUUCUGCUUGAGGAAGAAGGGAGCAGUUGGAGGCUCCAAGGUUGCAGGUGGAGUAUACCUCAACCUUCGUGAUGGGAUGAAGAAUCGCUACCUGCACUGCCCAUGGAACACUUCCUUGACCGAAUGGUACAGGAAGUGGUUCUACAUCAGGGAGGAACCGGGCAGCUCCACGUUCUGCGACGUGGGAUACGUUCCCGAGAAGAGGGCGAGCUGGACCGACCGUCCGGAGUUCGACGGUCCAGUGGCGGAUCUCAUGAAGCUGAUCGACUGGUCGCGCCUAGACGGGCUUGGCGUGGUCGGCAACUUCAUUUGCCGCCGGGUGAUGCCCUGCCAGAAGAGGGUGCACUCGGCGUACGAGUAUGCCGGAAGCGCAGACCCGACCAGGAUGCGGUCGGAGAUCUUGGAGAAAGCGGAGGUACAACAGCUGUUGAACGAGCUGUUUAACUUCGCGGAUGGGGGCUUCAUCCGUGGCAGUGAUCGGGUGCAAGCCUUCAAGUUAGGACGACCAGCACCAAAGGUAUGUAGCAGAGUCUGUUUGAUCAUUCGUAUAUAUCGUCUGCAGUUAACUCAUCUCUGUUGCUUUUGCAGGUCGGUGAUGUCGACCGGUGCGCAGUGUAUGUAUCACUGGCACCGGGGAUGGAAGAUCCUGUGGGAGAGGUCCCGCCAGAGGAGGACGCUGCUCGGUGUACUCAUUACACCAGCAGUGAGGAAGACCGAGCCUGCCCCGUCCCGACCUCCGAGGAGAGGGUAGCGGGGGAAAGGCCAUUGCCGGCAGAUCCCUUGCCGACACCGGAGCUGCCGGCGGAUCUACCGGCGGAGAGCAGCCAAGCACCGAAGUGUCGUCGGCUCGUGCGGAUCGUCGACGACGACGACGACGAGGACGCUGCGCCGUCGUUGGUCCGACGGCCUCGGAGCCGCCCAGACACUGCGCCGGUCGCCACUGAUCGAGUGGCCAGCGGCGCAGCUGCCCCGCAAGUUGUCGAGACGGGGGCACAGGUGCCGACCGGCCGGGCGAGGAGGAGGUUCACCGCGACCCACCGUCGGUCAGACCUGUAAGUGUUCGACUUACGUAUUUUGGACUCCUCUCUUUUUUUUAACUUUUGUUCCUGUAGUGCGGCAUCGGAUGUCGACCCUGGUCAAACUGCCAGUCAGGGAACGGGCGAGCCUGCCCGCGGUUCUGGGGAUGCGGCCCCCCAGACCACAGAGCAGCCAACAGCUGCAGUCGCGCCUGGGAGCACCGAGGGGCUCCCGAGCGCGGCGCCGACUACAACAAGCAGCCCGACCAGGGCUGGAGAGGCUUCCCCAACUGACUCCUCGGAGAAGGGAAGAUCUCCGACCGCUCCUCCUGCCGAGGGGAGUGAAGUCCCCCCACCGCCCCGAGCAGGGGGCUCUUCGGCUGCGGGCUCCCCGGGUCUGGUCCAAGGGCCAGUAAUGCCUGGGGCCACCACCGGGGGUGACGCAGCACAGGAGGAGGAAACCCGGGCGGCCUCCGAUGACGAGGUGGAGGAGAUCGAGGGUCGUCCCCGUGAUGGCCGCCAACACGUGUAUGUGUGGCGCCAACGCGGGGAUCACUUUAUCGGUCAUGAGGAGCUCGCCGAGACCGAAGAGGCCGCCAGGGUGGAGCGCGCGGCCAAGCGCCUUGUCGACGAAGUCAAGGUAAGCGGCUUUUUGUACUGCUGCGCAUUCUUUUGCCUUGUCUUGCUUGAUCGUUAUAUGCUUGCUUUGUAGGACGUAAUGAAAACGGCGAAGUACCGGAAACGGUGCUUUGACCAGAUAGAAGGCGUCAUGGCCGAGAACAAGGCCCUUGCCGCGGAGGUAGACCGGUUGCGGGCGGAGGUCGGGGAGAAGGUGGUCGAGAUGAGUGCCGAAAAGGAGCGUCGUCUCGACCUCGCUCGUCGUCUGGCCGACCAGUACCGGCUGCAGGAAGGUUAGUCACACGCUCCGAGCAGUUUCGCGUACUUGUAUAGUUUGCUUUGCUGACCAGUUUAGGAUUCACACAGACUUGGAGGAGGAGGUGGCGAGCCUCCAACAAGAGAAGGAGCAGCUCAGCCAACAGCUCGCCGGUGCGCAGGAGUCCGGGCGGCGGGCAGAAGAGGAAUUGGGUCGAAAAGACCGGGAGUUAGCUGGUAAUGGGUGCCGCCUUGUUGAUUGCUGCCUGCCCCUUUGCUUGUCUGAUAUGCCAAAAGUAACGUUUCGUUUCGUUUGCAGUGCUCAAGGUGAACACCAAAAAGAACCUGGAUGACCUGA
rnacentral:lncRNA from 1 species